AGGUUCAGCAUUAAUAAAAGUUGUCGAAGUUUAUAAAGAAAUUCAAGACCAACAAAUGAACAUUCUGAAAGCGUUCUACGUGGACCUGUUGGUUCCAUUGGAAACAAAUUUGGAAAAAGAUACAAAAGUCGUACAGGUAAGACGGUUA